GGAUGUGGUUUUUCUGGGUUUUUGUAAGGCUUUUGGUACUGUACCUCACAGCAUCCUUUGGGACAACUUUUCCAGCUGUGGGAUGAGUGGGUUCAUGGUGCACUGGGUGAAGAUCUGGUUGAAGGACAUAGCUCAAGGGUUGCAAUGGACACGGCCUCAUCUGGCUGGUGACUGGUCACCAGGGGUGUUCCUCACGGGUUCCUUUCUAGGGCCAGUUCUGUUCAAUAGAUCUCUCAAGAUCUGGAUGCAAAAUUGAAUGCACCAUGACAAACUUGCUGAUGAUUCCAAACUGGGAGGGCUGCUUGCACUUCCGAAGGACAAAAGGCUUGCAGAGGUAUCUGGGGUAUCCUGGAAUACUUGGGCAAACCCAAUGGGCAUGAAAAUUGAACAAGGGAUAAAUGUCAGAUUCUGCCUCUUAGAAAGGAUAAAUGGCCGGUAAAAUCCUAACUGGGAUGAGGAGUGCCUGGAAAGCACCCCCGCAGGAUGAAAACUGGGGGUGCUGGCUGUCAGGAGNNNNNNNNNNNNNNNNNNNNNNNNNNNNNNNNNNNNNNNNNNNNNNNNNNNNNNNNNNNNNNNNNNNNNNNNNNNNNNNNNNNNNNNNNNNNNNNNNNNNCAACCCUUGUACCUUUUGCAUCAUGGUCUAGCAAGAAAAACCAAGCAAAAUGAAUUUAAGUUUGCCACCUGAAACCCAAGCGAGCUACUUACGAGCAGCUGUUAGAGCGAACCCGUCUCUGUGGUGAAAGAGUGGGAUGACUUGUUAGGUGAGGUGAAAAGCCAAUCGAGCUGGGUGAUAGCUGGUUGCCUGUGAAACGAAUCUAAGUUCACUCUUAAUUCUUCUCCAAGGAAACUCAUGAACCCUAAUGAAGCGAAUUAAGGGCUAUUUAAAGGAGGUACAGCUCCUUUAAAAAAGAAUACAAUCUCUAGGAGCGGAUAAAUAACAACAUAUGAACUUACUGUGGGCCCUUAAGCAGCCAUCAACAAAGAGUGCGUUAAAGCUCCGUACCUAAAAAAUAUAAAAACCUUAUGACUACCUCCCCACUAACAAGCCAAGCUAUAUACAAAUAGGAGAAUUAAUGCUAGAAUGAGUAACCAGGGUCCUCCCUCUACAACGCAAGUUUACAUCUAUACAUUAUUAACACACCACCAAUAUAUGACAAAUCAAACAAGAAGAGUAUUAAGUAUCUUGUUAACCCAACAGAGGAGCGUCUAUUAAGAAAGAUUAAAACCUGUAAAAGGAACUAGGCAAAAACGUCAAGGCCCAACUGUUUGCCAAAAACAUAGCCUUCAGCAAACCAACAAACAAGUAUUGAAGGUGAUGCCUGCCCAGUGACUCACGUUUAACACGGUAUAUCCUAACCUUGCAAAGGUAGCGCAAUAAAUUGUCCCAUAAAUCGAGACUUGUAUGAAUGGCUAAACGAGGUCUUAACUGUCUCUUACAGGCAAUCGGUGAAAUUGAUCUCCCUGUACAAAAGCAGGGAUAAACCCAUAAGACGAGAAGACCCUGUGGAACUUCAAAACCAACGACCACCAUAUAUCACAUACACACCCACUGGGUUCACUGACACAUAAGAGAUUGGUACGUGUUUUUCAGUUGGGGUGACCUUGGAGUAAAAGAAAGCCUCCAAAAAUUAGACCAUAACUCUAAACUAAGAGCAACCCCUCAACGUGCUAACAGCAUCCAGACCCAAUAUAAUUGAUCAAUGGACCAACCUACCCCAGGGAUAACAGCGCCAUCUCCUCCAAGAGUCCAUAUCAAUGGGGAGGUUUACAACCUCGAUGUUGGAUCAGGACAUCCUAGUGGUGCAGCCACUACUAAGGGUUCGUUUGUUCAAUGAUUUACAGUCCUACGUGAUCUGAGUUCAGACCGGAGUAAUCCAGGUGGGUUUCCAUCUAUGAUGAACUCUUCCCAGUACGAAAGGAUAGGAAAAGUGAGGCCAAUGCCACAAGCAAGCCUUUGCCUUAAGUAAUGAAAACAACUAAAUUACGAAAAGCUAUCACACCCCCCCCCCACGUCCAA
rnacentral:rRNA from 1 species